GGUUACUGUGUGCCAGGCACUGUGCUGGGCUCAGAGCAGGAACCAGUGCCCUGUUUCAUGGAGCUCACUCUCAUGCCAACGUGGGAGGCUGUUCAAAUGCCAUGUGAAGUGUCUCUGCCGUUAUUUAUGGAUGCACCGGGCCUCUCGGUGGACAGAGAAAAUCACCAGGCCCCAGGGGCCUUGUCUUACUCAUCCCUGUGUGGAGCUCCCAGCACAGGCCUUGGCACAGAAGGCCGGAGUGAAGGAAGCAUCAGUUGAGCCUGAGGCACCUGGAAGGCCAGGUACUGGUGCAGGAGCAUGC
rnacentral:lncRNA from 1 species